ensembl:snoRNA SNORD58 Small nucleolar RNA SNORD58
UUGCCAUGAUGACUACUUAGGACACCUUUGGAUUCUCCAUGAAAAUAAAUGGUUACAUUCUGAGCAAC